rnacentral:tRNA from 1 species
GCGCCUGUAGCUCAGCGGAUAGAGCGUUCGGCUCCGGACCGAAAGGUCGCAGGUUCAAUUCCUGUCAGGCGCACCA